rnacentral:rRNA from 1 species
AUUGAACGCUGGCGGCAGGCCUAACACAUGCAAGUCGAACGGUAACAGGAAGAAGCUUGCUUCUUUGCUGACGAGUGGGGGACGGGUGAGUAAUGUCUGGGAAACUGCCUGAUGGAGGGGGAUAACUACUGGAAACGGUAGCUAAUACCGCCUAACGUCGCAAGACCAGAGAGGGGGACCUUCGGGCCUCUUGCCAUCGGAUGUGCCCAGAUGGGAUUAGCUAGUAGGUGGGGUAACGGCUCACCUAGGCGACGGUCCCUAGCUGGUCUGAGAGGGUGACCAGCCACACUGGCACUGAGACACGGUCCAGACUCCUACGGGAGGCAGCGGUGGGGAAUAUUGCACGAUGGGCGCAAGCCUGAUGCAGCCAUGCCGCGUGUAUGAAGAAGGCCUUCGGGUUGUAAAGUACUUUCAGCGGGGAGGAAGGGAGUAAAGUUAAGACCUUUACGCAUUGACGUUACCCGCAGAAGAAGCACCGGCUAACUCCGUG